AGUUCGCGCGCGAAUCUCGCCGGUUUCGGCAGUGUUUGUGAAUUGGUGGCGAACUUUGAUGUAUUUAUAUAUAUCAUGGAUGCCCUCAAAGAGAAGAACAGAAAAUACUCGGAGACCGAUCCCAAAACCGCUGUUGAAAUGUUGUUGCGCCGAAGAAUAAUUCUAGAAGAUGUUACUAAAAUGUUUAUCUUGUUUUUUUUAUGUUUAUGUUAAUUUUAUUAUAAAAUUAAUAUUGUACUACUUAAAUAAAGUUAACUUGCCUAAUUCCGUUAUAUCAGAAUUAAAGUAUUAGCUAUCACGGACUUAAAGAGGUCACCACGGAAUUAGGCAAGUUGACUUAGUUUAGUAAAUUUGGUAUAACUCUUAGGUUUCUAGAAAAAAAUCUGAUUAUUUGUGCUAAUAUUCCUCAUAAAAGACUGAUUAAGGUCCGUAUUACAGAAGGCUACUCAAGUCAAGUUUGAUCUCGAAUCACCUGAUCAUAGUUUAAAUAUGGAAUCUGCACUUGAGGGUUGUUCUUAUUUCAGAACAAUACUUAAACUGCACUCAGCUGAAUCGAGAUUCAAAUCGCGCCUCAAGCAGAGAAUAUGGCUUGUCUAUGCAUCAGCCUGUUUUCGUUUACAUUUUAUUUUUUUCGCCAACUCUGUUACAACUUACGCAAAAUAAGAAUUUAGUUUAACAUCUAAUUAUUAGUUAAAUCAUGAUUUAAAGAAAACAUAGGCUUUUUAAUUGUAGGUUUAAUUUUAAAAUGCCAUUUUUACGCCUUGAAAAUGUGUUGAAUGAUACCUGUAACAGUUGGUUGUAAUAUCUAAAAUUACAAAUACGAACAUGUUCGUAGAAUGGAAUGUUUUCCGAGUGUAUCGUAUCUGUGGUGGUGGAGAUUGACACUUGACAGUUAUGAUUAAAUAUUUUGGUUAUUUAAAAUGAUUUCAAGAAAGAAAAAGAAAUAGUUUAUUAGAGAGAAAUUUACUUAUCGAAAUAUUAAAAGAAUUUUAAGGUAUCGUGGAAUGUAAGAAAAUCGAUAAUGUUUAAUGGAAAUUAAUAAAACCCAUGCUGUUGAUUCUCCAACACAAGAAUUGAAGAGAUAUCUCUGCAAACGAGCCUAGAACAACUUUUUUUGUGAUUAUUUUAUUGUUUUGUUUAUUUAUAGUAAUUUUAAGUUUAAAUUAAUAAAAAAGAUGAAUAUUUUUA